rnacentral:rRNA from 1 species
AUUGAACGCUGGCGGCGUGCCUAAUACAUGCAAGUCGAACGAAUUGGCGCACGGGUGAGUAAUAUAUAGUUAAUCCGCCCUACACAGAGGAACAACAGUUGGAAACGACUGCUAAUACCUCAUAGUGUAGGAUGAGACUAUAUCGUAUCAGCUAGUUGGUAAGGUAAUGGAGUACCAAGGCUAUGACGCGUAACUGGUCUGAGAGGAUGAGCAGUAACAUUGGAACUGAGGCACGAUACAGAAACCUACGGGAGGCAGCAGUAAGGAAUAGGGCGAAAGGGGGGAAACCCAGAAGCAGCAACGCCGCGUGGAGGAUGACAAUUUGCGGAGCGUAAACUCCUAUGAUCAGGAAAGCGGUACCUGAUGAAAAAGCACCGGCUAACUCCGUGCCAGCAGCCGCGGUAAUAC